rnacentral:rRNA from 1 species
CCUACGGGUGGCUGCAGUGGGGGAUAUUGCACAAUGGGGGGAACCCUGAUGCAGCGACGCCGCGUGGGUGAAGAAGCGCCUCGGCGCGUAAAGCCCUGUCAUCAGGGAAGAAAAUGACGGUACCUGACGAAGAAGCACCGGCUAACUCCGUGCCAGCAGCCGCGGUAAUACGUAGGGGGCAAGCGUUAUCCGGAUUUACUGGGGGUAAAGGGGGCGCAGACGGGAAAGCAAGCCAGGUGUGAAAGCCCGGGGCCCAACCCCAGGACUGCUCUUGAAACUGUGUUGCUGGAGUGCGGGAGGGGCAGGUGGAAUUCCUGGUGUAGGGGUGAAAUGCGUAGAUAUCAGGAGGAACACUGGUGGCGAAGGCGGCCUGCUAGACCGCAACUGACGUUGAGGCCCGAAAGCGUGGGGAGCAAACAGGAUUAGAUACCCGUGUAGUC